AGUGAAUAGAUACCCCGGUAGUCCCAGCUGUAAACGAUGCGCGUUAGGUGUAUCGGUGACCACGAGUCACCGAGGUGCCGAAAGGGAAACCGUGAAACGUGCCGCCUGGGAAGUACGGUCGCAAGGCUGAAACUUAAAGGAAUUGGCGGGGGAGCACCACAACAGGUGGAGCCUGCGGUUUAAAUCGGACUCAACGCCGGGAAGCUCACCGGAUAAGACAGCUGAAUGAUAGCCGGGUUGAAGACUCUGCUUGACUAGCUGAGAGGAGGUGCAUGGCCGUCGUCAGUUCGUACUGUGAAGCAUCCUGUUAAGUCAGGCAACGAGCGAGACCCACGCCAACAGUUGCCAGCAUGUCCUCCGGGAUGGUGGGGACACUGUUGGGACCGCCUCUGCUAAAGAGGAGGAAGGAAUGGGCAACGGUAGGUCAGCAUGCCCCGAAUUAUCCGGGCUACACGCGGGCUACAAUGGUCAGGACAAUGGGUAUCAACACCGAAAGGUGAAGGCAAUCUCCUAAACCUGUCCUUAGUUCGGAUUGUGGG
rnacentral:rRNA from 1 species